CGCUGCGAUGAAAAAAAAAAGAGAAAAAAUUAAAAAGGUCAUCAGACGUGCUCCGUCAUGCAAAACAGGCAGAUGUGAUUAAAAGAUUACGAGACGACUGUUUUGACAAGACAUGGCAAUGAUGAUUCCAUCCCCAUGCGAGAGCGAAUAACCUCUCGUGUUGCACGCCGCGUGCAAGAUCACGUUGGCUUAAUCCAAUUUCAUGUUUUCACUCAAUUUUCGACGUUAAUGCUGUUAUCUGCAGCGGGCUCUCUAGGCUGAUUACAUUCUUCAUGAUAAACGAUGGAAAAGAUAGAAAACAAUACGGCCCAGAUCUGAUUUGGCCGGACAGAGAAAUACGGUUGUAAUAAUACCCAUAAAUGCAAAAUAAUGUCCAGUGAAAAAGAUGUGAUUCCUCAUACGCACCCCAGCUUAAUUAGGUGUGAAAAUAAUAGUCCCGGCGUUACAGCUCCGACUGACCGAGAGUAAUGUCGAGCUGUUGUGGAAUUGUGUUAACUCCCUUUAUUACUCGGUUUCUGACCUUCAUACUGCUAAUUAACACGGUUGUCAACAACUUGUGGAUUUAUGUGCAAUAAGUGCAUCGCCCAUACGUGCGCUCUUUGAAUACAGCGAGGGGAGAUCCGAUCAGCAGGAGAAGAAGUAAAACAACUUAUGUGACCUUUUAGGCGACUUGUUAAACGUCGGCAUCAGCAGGAACAAAAGCACAAAGCUAUGAACGAGUGCAGCAGAGCACAAAAGGUGGGGAGUACAAAUACUCAGUUGCUGUAUUAUUUUCAUGUGUCUGUACCUUACGCGGGUAUCUAUUUAACAACUUUUUGCUUUACGCCGGUUUCCUGCCGGUCCGAAUCAGGGCCGUAGCCACGGCGCUGCGAUCACGUUCCUUCCUGCCGGCUCUUCCAACGUGAUGAAAUACCACACGUCCCACAAGCUGCUGCGGCAAAAUACAAAAUCGGAACAAUUUCCAAGAUCCUUUUGACGAGAAGUGGAUUACAGAUAGCAUCGGAUGGGGAGAAAAGACAAGGUGUUUCCAAGGGUGCUGAUUGUCUCUGGGUGUUGUGAAAGUCCUGUUUACCCACCGCAUGUUUAACGGGAUCCAAUUAAGAAGGAAACAGUCUCACGGUUUGAGCUUAAUCUCAGACUUCAGCCCGUUUAGACAGUCAAAGUGGGUUUACCACAUAAGUAAACAUUAAAGCGACCAUUACUGUG